GGGAGUUCGAUGAACUUGGAGGUUGCAAAGGAUGCUGGGAAUCUGGUAAACUCAGGGGCUGCAAAGGACUCUGGGAGUUUGGGCAGUAGCGGCACUGCAAAGGAUGCUGGGAGUUCGGCCAACAUCACUGCUGCAAAGGACUCUGGGAAUCUGGUCAACUCAGGGGCUGCAAAGGAUGCUGGGAGUUUGGUCAACCCUGGGGCUGCAAAGGACUCUGGGAGUUUGGCUAAGAGCAUCACUGCAAAGGAUGCUGGGAGUUUGGUCAACUCAGGGGCUGCAAAGGAUGCUGGGAGCACAGCCAAAAAAGUAGUUGCAAAGGAUGGUGGGAGUUCAGCCAACUCAGGGACUGCAAAGGAUGCUGGGAACUCAGCCAACAUCACUGCCGCAAAGGAUGCUGGGAGUUCGGCCAACUUGGAGGCUGCAAAGGAUGCUGGGAGUCUGGCUAAUAGCAUCACUGCAAAGCAUGCUGGGAGCGUGGCCAAUGGUAUCGCUGCAAAGGACGCUGGGAGUUCGGCCAACUUGGAGGCUGCAAAGGACUCUGGGAUAUUGGCUGUCCUAGAGGAUGCAAAGGAUGCUGGGAGUUCGGUCAGUUCGGGGGCUGCAAAGGAUGCUGGGAGCGCGGCCAACCCGGAGGCUGCAAAGGCCUCUGGGAGUUCGGCUAACGGCAGCGCUGCAAAGGAUGCUGGGAGCGCGGCCAACCCGGAGGCUGCAAAGGCCUCUGGGAGUUCGGCUAACGGCAGCGCUGCAAAGGAUGCUGGGAGUUCGGCCAAGCUAGAGGCUGCAAAGGACUCUGGGAGUUCGGCCAACGCCGGGGGCGCGGGGGCCCCGGGGUGGGGACAGGGACAGGGACAAGAUGAGGGCAGGAUGGGGACAGGGACAGGAUGGGGAUGGGGACAGGGAUGGGGACAGGAUGGGGGUGGGGACAGGGACAGGGACAAGAUGAGGGCAGGAUGGGGACAGGGACAGGAUGGGGAUGGGGACAGGGAUGGGGACAGGAUGGGGGUGGGGACAGGGACAGGGACAAGAUGAGGGCAGGAUGGGGACAGGGACAGGAUGGGGAUGGGGACAGGGAUGGGGACAGGAUGGGGG
rnacentral:lncRNA from 1 species